UACGUAGGGUGCAAGCGUUGUCCGGAAUUAUUGGGCGUAAAGAGCUCGUAGGCGGUCUGUCGCGUCUGCUGUGAAAACUCAGGGCUUAACCCUGAGCUUGCAGUGGGUACGGGCAGACUAGAGUGCGGUAGGGGAGACUGGAAUUCCUGGUGUAGCGGUGAAAUGCGCAGAUAUCAGGAGGAACACCGGUGGCGAAGGCGGGUCUCUGGGCCGUAACUGACGCUGGAG
rnacentral:rRNA from 1 species